rnacentral:snRNA from 1 species
GUGCUCGCUUCGGCAGCACAUAUACUAAAAUUGGAACGAUACAGAGAUUAGCAUGGCCCUUGCGCAAGAAAUUGUUUAGUAUUCAAUUUAC